CGUUACCCGCCGCCCAACCGCCCUCCGUGCGUGCCCGCGCCCCGCAGGCUGCUCCCACCGCUCCCCCGGCACCGCUUUUGUUUUUGUUUCUCUCUCUCUUUUUUUUUUUUUUUUUUUAAGUCCGGCUCCCCAGCUGUGAGAGCUGACUCUUCAAACCGGCGCUUUGAGCGUCCACGCUUGGCCGUGCCAAAAAAGUAACGACGGGAAGUGAACAAAGGACAUGUCAAGGAUCUGAGGAGAUUCCCCUCUCUACGCACCGCCCGAGCCGCUCGGCCCGCGUUGCUCACUGUCCCUGGGGCUGCUGACGAGUGGUGAACCAAACUCUUCCCUUUUUCUUCUGGCGAGGUCGCUUUAACGAGAGGAAAAAUAACGCUUUACUCUCGCACCGAGCUGGAGCUUGUUUUUAAUAGUGUUAGGAGCAAUCCUAACUGCUGGAAUUUUCUCCAAAGGGAAGACUGGUUUUUGACUUCACAUGUGGCAGCACAUGAAGCAGAUAGGCUGUAAAGACCAGGAGGGUCAUGCUACUAGUAGCAGAGCAGUGAGCACUCACUCCUAGUUCCCCAGGUUGGCAAAGCUGUGAUUUUAGCAUUACUUAAUCUGCUGGAACUGUAUCAGCACUAAUAAUCAUAUCUCAUGCUGCUCCCUGAACAACUUUGGCUUCUCUGCAGCUCCUUGGAUUUUAUAGAGUCCUGUUCUCCGUAGCUUCUGGGGACAAAAGGUUGAAACAAACCUUUGUGGAUUGUGUAAGAACGUGUCUGGAUAUGCAUCUGAUGUCAGCCACAUACAGCAGAUAAAUCCAAGGAGGUUCACCAGGUAAAAAUUUCAACUGCCACAGAAAUAACAUGGAGGAAAUUGUAUAGAAAAGUCAAUAAUUUGCUAUUGAUUGGAGGCUGAAAUUGAAG
rnacentral:lncRNA from 1 species